GAAAUAAAAAACCAAAGUCUGGGUACUUUACUUUUAUUUAUUUAUUUAUUUAUUUAUUUAUUUAUUUAUUUAUUCAGGGGCAGUGGGGGGAAGGGAAGAUAUUGUUGGUACACAAAGAAGUAAGUAAAUAAAACCUAUUUACAUAAUAUAAGAAAAUUGCUUUUUUAAAGAAAUUAAAUUCACUGAUAUCUUGUUUUAUCUUCCCAAUACCUUUUCCUUCCUCUCACUGACAAAGUCAUUUCUCCUAACUAAAAGUAAAAGCAUUUAGUCAAACUAGCCAAAAUAUAUUCCACAUCUGCAGCCACUCCCCCCCCCAUCCUGCCCCACCCCCGGCCUUUUUUCUAAGGAAAAGAGGUAAAUUUAUUUUAUCUUCCAAGACAAGUUUAGCUAUUAUAAAUAUAUAGUAUUCAGGUGUGGUUUUUGUUUUUAAAAAAAGUAUUAAAAAAAAUUUAAGUACAAUAUAAGUAAAAAUACUAACACUGUAAUAAUCUUUAAGCAUUUCCUGGUUCUGUUGUCCUCACUCUUCAUCAGUCCACAUGUUAUCUUGUGCUUCACUAAAAUUCUUUAUAUUUAUUACUCCUUACAUAUCUAUAGUGUCCAAUAUUCAUAUAUCACAAUUUGUUUAAGGAUUCCUCAUCAAUGUGCAUCUACUUUAUUUCCAGUUUUUGGCUCUUACCAAAAAGAGCUAUGGAUAUUUUGUUAUAGUAUGUACCUCUUUGGGGCUCAUACUUAGCUGGAAGAUCUAUAGAUCAAAGACUAUGGACUUUGUCACUUUCUUAGCUUAAUUCUUAGUUGCUUUCUAAAGUGGUUGGGUCACUGUACAACUCCACCAACAAUGUAUUAGUGUGCUUUUCUUUCCUCAAUUCCUCCAAAAUUAAUUAUUUCUAUCUUUUUCAUCUUUGCCAAAUUAUUGGGCAAAAUAUAAAACUCAGGAAUUUCAUUCUAAACAACCUUUUAUAUGGCCAAAGGUUUGCAGUUAUUUUGAGAAUUUGUUUCUAUCUUCUGACCACUUGUUAAUUAAGAGAAUUAAUGCUCUUGGUUUUAUUUUUCUUUAGUUAAUCUUUUAUAUAUCUUGACUAUCAGACCAUUAAAGAGGCAGCUAGUGGCAAAGUAGAUGGAGUCAGAAACACCUCUUCCUGAAUUCAAAACCGGCCUCAUGUGUAUCCUGGAUAAGUCCUAUUUAACCUUGUUUACCUCAGUUUCCUCAGUUAUCAAAUAAGAUGGAGAUGGAAAUGGCAAACCACUUUAGUCUCCACCAAGAAACCCAAUGAGUCAGACAUGACUGAAUAAUGACUGAACAAAAUAAUAGGAAGCCUCAGGGGAGGGUGAUGUGGGGAAUAGAUAAGGUGAAGAACUUACAGGAAUGUAUGAAUUCUUUUUCUGUAUUUUAUUAUUUCUGUGUUUCCCCUAUGACCUGUAUAAUAUGUGCAGGCUCAUAUCUAUUUGAGCCUUGGCCAGCUAGAAACAUAUUUACUUAACCUGAACUGAUGACAUUUAUUGGUAUUUGACAUUUAUCAAUAUUUAGUCUAUUAGCUGGACCACUGUCUGCUUGAUUAAGCCUGAAGGCCUGACUUUGUUUCCCAGAAAUCAGGAGAUUUCAGGGAAACAGAAACCUUCCAUUCCAAUCUCCCCAAAUAGCAACAACCAAUUAGAUGCCUCCUCCUCCCCUUUCAAUGCUCUCUUACUUGUGAUGUAAUUUCUUGUAUAAAAGCUAUGUAUCUUUACUACUUCUUUAGCCCUCCUACCGCGAGCUUAUCUUGCGAUGGGACGGCUCAUCCUCCGGAGGUUUUUCAAUAAACAACUUUUCUGCCUUCUACUGAGCGAUCUCUGAGUAGUUAUUUUGGGUAAGGGUCUUCUACAUCCCUCACAGAUGGGGGCUCGUCCGGGAUGGGGUCUUUGGGGGAGAUGGCUAUGUGCACCCCGAACAGGGACAGGCGCCCACGGAGUAGUUUUCUCCAUGGUCUCUGGCUCUGGGUGAGCAGCCUCCCUCCCCUCUUAGACAACAACCCGAAGCAGGGAUACUCAGUGGAACGCAGAAUUGAAGAUUGAAAGAAGUAGAGUCCUGAUGGCCGGCAUUUGCAGCCUGAAAAGAAACAUAUGUUCUCGAGAUUAUUGAAUCUCUUCUGAGACAUGGAUCGGCCCAUCUGAAGCUUAGAUUGACACCACACCCACACCCUUGCAUGGAUUGAGCACCUUCACCCACUUCUCAGCCUGAAGCAGCUAAGAUCGAGACCAUCGCCAGUGCUCCUGAUGUAAUUUGGACUGAUAUGGGGGAAGUGGGAAAGUGGUUGAUGAAUUAUUGUUAAAAUUACAAUUCUAUUACUAGAGUUAGAAAAAAAUGCAAACAUUACUGUGUGUUUAAGAUUUGGGAUGGAAAUUAUUAAAAAUGGUAACUAUUGCUGUUAAAGAAGCUAUAAAAUGUUUAUAAUAUCUAUGUUCACUUCAGAAUAUGUAAUUGUUUAAGGUAUUUGAUUUGAUUUGAUUUGAUUGAUUUUAGGAAACUCCUCCUGUACUAGACUGUUAUGUAUGUAGGAACUUUAAUUCACUCUUGGGAUUUAUAUGUGGAUGGUUAUUUGACUAUUUAUUAUUAUUAUUUUUUUUUUGGAUGAUUCCUUUCCAUGAGGAAAAAAAAAAGGAGAGGAAGAGAUAGGGAACUAGGGAAACUGGUGGAUUUUUCUCAAAAUACCUAAAAGAGUGGGAACCCUUAGUUUUCUUUCACUUUUGCCUUUCGUACUUCUGCCCCAUCCCCUAUACCACCAGUUCAGAUUAAAUUGGAAGUCCUUAAGCAAUCUUUUUUGUUUUUACUAUGUUUUAGCUUUGAAACCCCUCAUUCUGUGGAAUUGCCCUGGCAGACUCAGUUUUGGGAACUAUUCUGUUUUAAAGAAGAUUAAGAUUAAGACACUUGUCUUGGGACUGGCAAUCUCCAGCCCUGUAACCCCAGUUUCUUAACUGGUACCUCAGCAUUUUUAAUAACAUUGCCCUUUUGAGAUCAAGCCUCUAAAGUUCGGGGUUUGUCUGCCUUCAUGUUCUAACUGUGCAUGCUCUGAUAGCUCUGCUCAGAAAUCUGUAUUCUAGUAGCAGCCCUGUCUGUCCCCCUGGGUGGGGACAGGUGGAGCUACUCUAAGCCUCACCCUUCUCCCCUGGAGUGGGUUGCCCCUAUGAAUGGGCAGCAUGACUGUCUCGAGCCCUGCUACUCCCUUUAUAAGCAGAAGCUGAGUUAAGUGCACAAAUGACUGCAGACCACCUAACACAGUGAACUGUCCAUCUCAAACUGGAUUCUCUGGCUGAGAUGAGGGCCUUUGUACUGCUGAUAACUCUGGGGUUGUCAGGAAGAGACUUGUCCUUGCCAUAAGUCCUUGCAUUUUCUAGUUUCAUUUUGAUUUAUUUGCCUCACAUUGGAUUGGUCAAAAUUAUGGUGCUGAGACCUCCCAGGUAUCUUAGGGAGGUAAUUCAAUAAUUCAAAUAUUCAGAAGAAGAGUGUGUAAUGUUGUGCCUCAGUUCCCCUAGAUUGUCAUCUUUAUCUGUCUUUUUAUUUUUAUGUUUGCCAAAUGCCAAUCUGUUCUAUGAUAACUGUUUCUAAGAUAGUUGGUGGAAGCAAUUUUUAUGGUAUGAACUUAUUGCAAUCAAUGGUAUUAUCCUGUUGCUGCUAUGUCUACCCUGUAUAAUUACAUUAGUAACCAGAUUAGUUCAGUGGUCCCUAUCAAAAUAUUGCAUACAGAAAAUGCUAUUAAAAUGAUGAUUCUUCAGAGAAAAGACUGGAAUGUAUUAAAGAGGGAUGAUCUUGAUUGUGAACUUGAUAAACAAUGUAUAUAUAGAUAUACUAACUGAUUUUGAACAGUGUGUAAGUUCUUCAUAGAAAUAUGAUAAAAAUCAUUUACAUGUCAGAAGGGGGGAGCUGUGGGGAAUAGAUAAGGUGAAGAACUUACAGGAAUGUAUGAAUUCUUUUUCUGUAUUUUAUUAUUUCUGUGUUUCCCCUAUGACCUGUAUAAUAUGUGCAGGCUCAUAUCUAUUUGAGCCUUGGCCAGCUAGAAACAUAUUUACUUAACCUGAACUGAUGACAUUUAUUGGUAUUUGACAUUUAUCAAUAUUUAGUCUAUUAGCUGGACCACUGUCUGCUUGAUUAAGCCUGAAGGCCUGACUUUGUUUCCCAGAAAUCAGGAGAUUUCAGGGAAACAGAAACCUUCCAUUCCAAUCUCCCCAAAUAGCAACAACCAAUUAGAUGCCUCCUCCUCCCCUUUCAAUGCUCUCUUACUUGUGAUGUAAUUUCUUGUAUAAAAGCUAUGUAUCUUUACUACUUCUUUAGCCCUCCUACUGCGAGCUUAUCUUGCGAUGGGACGGCUCAUCCUCCGGAGGUUUUUCAAUAAACAACUUUUCUGCCUUCUA